rnacentral:rRNA from 1 species
AUUGAACGCUGGCGGCAUGCCUUACACAUGCAAGUCGAACGGCAGCAUAGGAGCUUGCUCCUGAUGGCGAGUGGCGAACGGGUGAGUAAUAUAUCGGAACGUGCCCUAGAGUGGGGGAUAACUAGUCGAAAGACUAGCUAAUACCGCAUACGAUCUACGGAUGAAAGUGGGGGAUCGCAAGACCUCAUGCUCCUGGAGCGGCCGAUAUCUGAUUAGCUAGUUGGGGGGGUAAAAGCCUACCAAGGCAACGAUCAGUAGCUGGUCUGAGAGGACGACCAGCCACACUGGGACUGAGACACGGCCCAGACUCCUACGGGAGGCAGCAGUGGGGAAAUUUGGACAAUGGGGGCAACCCUGAUCCAGCAAUGCCGCGUGAGUGAAGAAGGCCUUCGGGUUGUAAAGCUCUUUUGUCAGGGAAGAAACGGUGGUAGCUAAUAUCUACUACUAAUGACGGUACCUGAAGAAUAAGCACCGGCUAACUACGUGCCAGCCGCCGCCGUAACAC